UAGGGAAUCUUCCACAAUGGACGCAAGUCUGAUGGAGCAACGCCGCGUGAGUGAAGAAGGUCUUCGGAUCGUAAAACUCUGUUGUUAGAGAAGAACACGAGUGAGAGUAACUGUUCAUUCGAUGACGGUAUCUAACCAGCAAGUCACGGCUAACUACGUGCCAGCAGCCGCGGUAAUACGUAGGUCCCGAGCGUUGUCCGGAUUUAUUGGGCGUAAAGCGAGUGCAGGCGGUUCAAUAAGUCUGAUGUGAAAGCCUUCGGCUCAACCGGAGAAUUGCAUCAGAAACUGUUGAACUUGAGUGCAGAAGAGGAGAGUGGAACUCCAUGUGUAGCGGUGGAAUGCGUAGAUAUAUGGAGGAACACCGGUGGCGAAAGCGGCUCUCUGGUCUGUAACUGACGCUGAGGCUCGAAAGCGUGGGGAGCGAACAGGAUUAGAUACCCUGGUAGUCCACGCCGUAAACGAUGAGUGCUAGGUGUUAGGUCCUUUCCGGGACUUAGUGCCGCAGCUAACGCAUUAAGCACUCCGCCUGGGGAGUACGACCGCAAGGUUG
rnacentral:rRNA from 1 species